rnacentral:rRNA from 1 species
GACGAACGCUGGCGGCGUGCUUAACACAUGCAAGUCGAACGGAAAGGCCCUGCUUUUGUGGGGUGCUCGAGUGGCGAACGGGUGAGUAACACGUGAGUAACCUGCCCUUGACUUUGGGAUAACUUCAGGAAACUGGGGCUAAUACCGGAUAGGAGCUCCUGCUGCAUGGUGGGGGUUGGAAAGUUUCGGCGGUUGGGGGUGGACUCGCGGCUUAUCAGCUUGUUGGUGGGGUAGUGGCUUACCAAGGCUUUGACGGGUAGCCGGCCUGAGAGGGUGACCGGCCACAUUGGGACUGGGAUACGGCCCAGACUCCUACGGGAGGCAGCAGUGGGGAAUAUUGCACAAUGGGCGGAAGCCUGAUGCAGCAACGCCGCGUGCGGGAUGACGGCCUUCGGGUUGUAAACCGCUUUCGCCUGUGACGAAGCGUGAGUGACGGUAAUGGGUAAAGAAGCACCGGCUAACUACGU